GCCAGCAUGGUAUAGUGGUUUGAGUGUUGGACUAUGACUCUGGAGACCAGGGUUCAAUUCCCUUCUCAGCCA